rnacentral:rRNA from 1 species
UACGUAGGGGGCUAGCGUUGUCCGGAAUCAUUGGCGUAAAGCGCGUGUAGGCGGCCCGGUAAGUCCGCUGUGAAAGUCGGGGGCUCAACCCUCGGAUGCCGGUGGAUACUGUCGGGCUCGAGUACGGAAGAGGCGAGUGGAAUUCCUGGGUGUAGCGGUGAAAAUGCGCAGAUAUCAGGAGGAACACCAAUGCGAAGGCAGCUCGC